CUUAUCAUGUUUAGGCGUGCACAUAUGAAGAAUUGGCCAGGGUGCGUCAUGUGGCCUGCCAGACAGUAACACCACCUGUUAGAACAGUUAGCACUCAGCUGUCAAUAACAACUCUACAACCUCACUACCAGAGCAAAGGCAUACAGACACAGUUCUGCCCUGACGUUGGUGUUCACACUGCAUAUCCACUGAUGUCCUCAACACCAGUAAAGAGGGUUAGUAAGGUUAGUAAGAGACCUCGCUUGGAGCUGGAGGAGGAGGAGCAGCAGCAGGACCCUUUGGAAGGCACACCAUUGAAGAACCACUGGAUUCUACAUAUGAUCCUGCAGACUCUAUUUCAUCUUUGACAGAGCCUGUGGAUGUGACAUUGGAAUCUUCCAAGCCGGCUCAUAAGACAGCAACAUACAUUGUGUAUGAAAACUGUCUGCUGGAGCUCUUUUAGAAG